ACGGAGGGUGCAAGCGUUAUUCGGAAUUACUGGGCGUAAAGGGCGUGCAGGCGGGAGAGCAAGUCUGAUGUGAAAGCCCGGGGCUUAACCCCGGAAGGGCAUUGGAAACUGCGUUUCUUGCGUUCUGGAGAGGAAGGGAGAAUUCCCGGUGUCGAGGUGCAAUUCGUAGAGAUCGGGAGGAACAUCAGUGGCGAAGGCGCCCCUCUAGACAGCAACUGACGCUGACACGCGGAAGCGUGGGGAGCAAACAG
rnacentral:rRNA from 1 species